GACAGAGGGGGCAAGCGUUGCUCGGAAUUACUGGGCGUAAAGGGCGCGUAGUCGGCCUUCUAAGUCGGACGUGAAAUCCCUCGGCUUAACCGAGGAACUGCGUCCGAGACUGAAAGGCUUGAAUCCGGGAGAGGGAUGUGGAAUUCCAGGUGUAGCGGUGAAAUGCGUAGAUAUCAGGAGGAACACCAGUGGCGAAGGCGGUGCUCUGGGCCGGAACUGACGCUGAGGAGCGAAAGCGUGGGGAGCGAACAGG
rnacentral:rRNA from 1 species